rnacentral:snRNA from 13 species
AUAUUCGCUGAAUAAAAAUUUAAUCUGUUCGUAUCAUCUUAAUAUCUGAUACGCCCCGCAAGUGGGGCCAGUAUGUUAAACUGAUUUUUGGAAAUUGACGAAGGUUAGGGGCUUGCUCCACCUUUGUCGCGGGUUGGCCUGGUAUUGAAGUACCGCCAGGAUCAGCCCAUUUGAA